UAUUGAGUGGCCUACACUCUAACACUCCUCAAUAAUACCUCUCUCUCUCUUCUUCCAACGGUAACAAAAAAAUAAUAUUAAAAAAAGAGAAAAGAGAAAGGGUUGUCUCUCUCCUCCAACGGUUGAAAUAUAAAAAUGAAAUAGAAAUUGAAAAAAGGGGAUUCACGUUCACCACUAGUCAUAAAAUAAUAAAAAGGAAAUAAAAAAUAAAAGAGAGGAACAAUAUUGUUCCUCUUCUUCCCCCCAAAAAACCACAAGCUACCUUCAUCUUCUUCAUCUUCACCCACCGGCGAUUCACCACUUUUCCCUUAUUCCUCACAACACCAUUCUAAAACCUAUUCAUCAUUCUCUUUCCAACAAACCACACAUAAACAACUAUACAACUCAAACCGCCAUUCACACAACUAUUACAAUUUUAUAUGUAUACUUCGGUCAAUGAGCUUCACAUAUAU
rnacentral:lncRNA from 1 species